rnacentral:rRNA from 1 species
UACGUAGGUGGCAAGCGUUGUCCGGAUUUAUUGGGUUUAAAGGGUGCGUAGGCGGCCCCAUAAGUCAGUGCUGAAAUACUCUAGCUCAACUAGAGGGGUGGCAUUGAUACUGCGGGGCUUGAGUGGAGUCGAGGUAGGCGGAAUUGACGGUGUAGCGGUGAAAUGCGUAGAUAUCGGAAGGAACAUCAGUGGCGAAAGCGGCUUCCUGGACCAGUACCGACGUUCAGGCACGAAAGCGUGGGGAGCAAACAGG